rnacentral:rRNA from 1 species
GCUAAAUACCGCAUACGCCCUACGGGGGAAAGCAGGGGGUCGCAAGACCUUGCACUAUUGGUGCGGCCGGUAUCGGAUUAGCUAGUUGGUGGGGUAACGGCUCACCAAGGCGACGAUCCGUAGCUGGUUUGAGAGGACGACCAGCCACACUGGGACUGAGACACGGCCCAGACUCCUACGGGAGGCAGCAGUGGGGAAUUUUGGACAAUGGGGGAAACCCUGAUCCAGCCAUCCCGCGCUGUGCGAUGAAGGCCUUCGGGUUGUAAAGCACUUUUGGCAGGAAAGAAACGUCGCGGGUUAAUACCCCGCGGAACUGACGGUACCUGCAGAAUAAGCACCGGCUAACUACGUGCCAGCAGCCGCGGUAAUACGUAGGGUGCAAGCGUUAAUCGGAAUUAACUGGGCGUAAAGCGUGCGCAGGCGGUUCGGAAAGAAAGAUGUGAAAUCCCAGAGCUUAACUUUGGAACUGCAUUUUUAACUACCGGGCUAGAGUGUGUCAGAGGGAGGUGGAAUUUCGCGUGUAGCAGUGAAAUGCGUAGAUAUGCGGAGGAACACCGAUGGCGAAGGCAGCCUCCUGGGAUAACACUGACGCUCAUGCACGAAAGCGUGGGGAGCAAACAGG